UACGUAGGGUGCGAGCGUUGUCCGGAAUUAUUGGGCGUAAAGAGCUCGUAGGCGGUCUGUCGCGUCUGCUGUGAAAUCCCGAGGCUCAACCUCGGGCCUGCAGUGGGUACGGGCAGACUAGAGUGCGGUAGGGGAGAUUGGAAUUCCUGGUGUAGCGGUGAAAUGCGUAGAUAUCGGGAGGAACACCGGUGGCGAAGGCGGCCCCCUGGUUGGAUACUGACGCUGAGACGCGAAAGCGUGGGGAGCAAACAGG
rnacentral:rRNA from 1 species